CAUGGCGUCCACCGUGUCCAGCUACAACACGAGCGAAGAUGAACAAAAGAGAAGAAAACCGCAUUCGAAGUUUAGUCAAAAGGCAUCAAACACGAUGCUAUAUGCAUCUCUCAACUGUCCAAGAGCGAAAAAGUGCAGGACUUUGGACGAAACGGUGUGAGCCUGCGUGACUGCGUCAGACAAUGGCCUUCUGUCCAGGCUCCGUCGAAGGAUCUUGCUGAAAAUGCGUCGACUGGGAUUUUAAACGACAUUGACAACAGAACUGAAACACCCUUCACUGACACCUACAACUUCUUCUGUGACACCGUCACCCGUCAAAUGAUUAGAGUUGACCAGGAAGUGCUGCAAAUGGACAAGCUUCCAAAAGACAUUUGUGGACAUAGUGAAGAAUCAGGAGGGUCUUGAUACUUCAGAAUACAGGACUGGGCAACAGAACGAGGAUUGACGUCUCUAAGGUCUCCGCAGCUCUUGGCACUAGUGUGUGUUCAGCACUCAUUGGCAUCCAUACAUUCACUGGCUGAGACUCUGCUAGUGCCUUUCAUGGCAAAGGCAUAAAAGCACAUUUUCUGUUGCAUGUCAUAUAAAAGAAUACCUGACUGGGUUUGCAAAGCUGGGCUGCAGUUUUAAACUGGACACAGUACACACACUACAAACAUUUAACACGUUGUGUAAAUACGUGUGCCACCUGUAUGGCCAGUCAUCUGCCAAAAAUUUAAAUGAUGCCAGGUACAGAUAUUUCUGUAUGCCCUCGUCAGCCUUGCCAGAACUCUCUAUUCCCCCAACAACUGAUGCUCUGCAACACUGCAGGAAAACAAACUAUAAAACAGCCAUUAUGAAACAUUGUCUGACAGAUAAAAUGUGCGCCCCUUCACCCAUUGGGAAUGGGUGGGACAUUGAGGAUGGGCAGUUGGCAGUGACAUGGAUGACUAAAAAUUCCUGCCCCUGAUACUGUUUUGCAAGUAGUCGACUAUAGUUGCAAGGCAACCAUAAGUGACACGGGAAGAUGUUCUUGUAUGUCUGCAAAACUUUCUUGUACUGAUUUAUGUCGGUGCCGAGCAUGCGAGAAUGUUUCCAAAGAAACAGAAGACACUCGGAUGGGAUGAUGACUUGAUGAAAGUGAUUUUGAGGAGUAAUGUUGUCAUGCAGUUUUACUAUUUUUUAUUUCUCUAUAUAUAUUUUUACUUUGUUUUUCAAUAUUUUAAUGUGUAAUAAUGUGUAUUUUCGUAUUAUGAGACACUACCAUGUUAAAUGUUGUAUACCCAGGGGUCACGUUAACCGAAUAUUUUCCGUCGUUGACCGGUUUUUUAAAACGGUGACGGAAAAAACUGAAGUCCAUCCGUCAUUUUGACAGGUUGCAAUUCACACCCCAGACCACAGGGUGGCGAGUGAGCAUAUUAAUUAGCUAUUGUCUCUCUUGAUGCAUGACGUCGUUGGCCUUACUCGGAAAAAUGUCAAGGCAACUGAGCGUCCGAACUAAGGCUACGUUCAUACUACAGGUCUUAAUGCACGAAUCCGAUUUUUUCGUGUUUUUCCGACUCGAGUGAGGCAUUAACUUGACGGUCUGAACGUGAGAAGUCGCAUAGAACGGGACCAUUUCUAAUCCGAUAGGCAUAAAUAAUCCCUGUACAGGUUUAUAUUCAAAGUAUAUGGAUCGAUAGCAUGCACGCACUGUUCGUUCAUGUCACACACACAUACGAGCAGUUUGCACCGACUCUCGGCCAUGUAAGCAAUGUUGAAAUAUUGCUUAUAUGGAGCAGAGAGAAAACCGAUCAUUCUCAGGCUUAUCCUCAAACCUUUUUUUUUUUUUUUAUGACUUGUCAAGUCCGACCCUUCCUAAAAAGCCGUGUUUAAGGCAAGCUAGGCGCUAAUAACACACAGCUGCUUGAUGUGUGAUGGCGCGGUGUGGAUUCUCUGUUAAUCUUGUUCGGACAAAAUAUUAAUUAAAGAUGAAUGAAAACUAAAUACUAUUGAAUAUGUCAUUAUUAACAUUUUAAAAAUUUAAGUGACGGGUAAAAAUAGAUUAUGACCGGAUUUUUAUGUCCCUGUCAGUCAAAAUGACAGACAACGAAAAAGUCUAGCGCAACCUCUGUGUAUACCAUGCUUGUGAAUGAUUCCAACCUUUUGUGUAUAUGUGUGUGAUUCAAAAAGACUGCCAAAAUCAUUAUGGCAUGUCAAAAAUGACUCUACCUUGGACAGAUGUUGGAAGUAACUAAGUUCAAUAUCAUGUUUUCAAAGUUUUCAAAUGUGGCCAUCGCAAGCAACAUGGACAACAUCAAGUUGACAUGAGAAUUCCUCCCUAAUGUCGUGUUUCACUGCGUUGAUUACGUCUGUUAUUCGAUCUUUCAUGUCAUCAAUAUUUGCUGGAUGUGGUGGAACAUACACUUAUUGUAUAACAUACGUUUUAUGCCAUAAAGAUAAGGAUAAUGAACUUUGUCUUUAACAUACAAACACGUCCAGCAAGUACUGAUGACGUGAAAUAUCGAACAACAGUUGCAAACAAGACAAUGGACUGCGACAUGCACACGUUUGAGAGGAAUUCUCUUCUCGGCUUAAUUUUGUUCGUGCUGCUGGUGGUGCUCACAUUUAAGCUUAAAACAUGAAAUACAACUUGAUCUUCAACACAUGUGUCCAUCGCAUCUUUUGUGAUUCAUUCAUUCAUUCAUUCAUUCAUUCAUUUUCCAUGCCGCUUUUCCUCACGAGGGUCGCGGAGGUGCUGGAGCCUAUCCCAGCUAACUACGGGCAGUAGGCAGGGUACACCCUGAACUGGUUGCCAGCCAAUCGCAGGGCACAAGGAGACAAACAACCAUUCACGCACACACUCAUACCUACGGUCAAUUUAGAGAGUUCAAUCAGCCUACCAUGCAUGUUUUUGGGAUGUGGGAGGAAACCGGAGUUCCCGGAGAAAACCCACGCAGGCAUGGGGAGAACAUGCAAACUCCACACAGGAAGGCCGAAGCCCGGGAUUGAACCCUUGAUCUUAGAACUGUGAGGCAGACGUGCUAACCACUCAGCCACCGUGCCGCCAUCUCAAUCUUUUGUGAUGUUUUUCUUUUUUGAAGUAUCACGUGAUGAUUAUGGCAGAUUCUUUUUGAAUCACCCUGCAUUUUUUGUCUUAUUCCAUUUUUGCCAUGAUUCAGAUUUAGGAAGGCAUGGUAGAAAUUCGGUUGAUUUUCAGCCAUUUAUGAUCAUGGUGUGCAUUUUUUAUUUUAUAUAAUUCAUUGCAUAGUAGGUUGUGAUAUUUUUUAUAUAUGACACAUAAGCUUUUAGCUAAAUUUAAUAUAUAUUUCAUUAAGCUGGAUGCAAAUCACUUAUGUUGAAGUGUUUCCUCCAAGAAAUCAGCUACAUUUCUCACUCUGAAUUCACCUAUGUGGAGACUAAGGCACAAAUACUUGCUUCAAAUGUUUGGUAAAUGUGUUUAUGACAUUUGAUAACGAUUUUGUGUUGCCAGAAUUAAUGUAGCACUUAAAACCAGCAAAAACAGCAGCACAAGAUUUGUAUUUUUGUGUAUUCACAUCAAGAUACAUUUCUGGGUGGUGACAAAGUUACGAGGGUAUUGGCUUUGAAAAAACGUAUUGAACGCGUAGAUCCACCGUAGUGGAACGAAAUCCAUUUUCCGAUCACUUUUUCCAUGGUCC